rnacentral:rRNA from 1 species
CCCUGCUCAGGACGAACGCUGGCGGCGUGCCUAAUACAUGCAAGUCGAGCGGAGUAUUAUUGAAAGCUUGCUUUCAAUAAUACUUAGCGGCGGACGGGUGAGUAACACGUAGGCAACCUACCUCUUUGACUGGGAUAACUACCGGAAACGGUAGCUAAUACCGGAUAAUUCCUUUGUCCACCUGGACGAAGGAUGAAAGGCGGAGCAAUCUGCUACAAGGAGAUGGGCCUGCGGCGCAUUAGCUAGUUGGUGGGGUAACGGCUCACCAAGGCGACGAUGCGUAGCCGACCUGAGAGGGUGAACGGCCACACUGGGACUGAGACACGGCCCAGACUCCUACGGGAGGCAGCAGUAGGGAAUCUUCCGCAAUGGGCGAAAGCCUGACGGAGCAACGCCGCGUGAGUGAUGAAGGUUUUCGGAUCGUAAAGCUCUGUUGCCAGGGAAGAACGUCCGGUAGAGUAACUGCUACCGGAGUGACGGUACCUGAGAAGAAAGCCCCGGCUAACUA